UACCAGCACCUCGAGUGGUCGGGACGUUUAUUGGGCCUAAAGCAUCCGUAGCCGGUUCUACAAGUCUUCCGUUAAAUCCACCUGCUUAACAGAUGGGCUGCGGAAGAUACUAUAGAGCUAGGAGGCGGGAGAGGCAAGCGGUACUCGAUGGGUAGGGGUAAAAUCCGUUGAUCCAUUGAAGACCACCAGUGGCGAAGGCGGCUUGCCAGAACGCGCUCGACGGUGAGGGAUGAAAGCUGGGGGAGCAAACCGG
rnacentral:rRNA from 1 species